UCCCCUCUUCAGUUGUGCCUCGAC
rnacentral:siRNA from 1 species